GUGAUGCAUCACUGGGUAAACGAGAGAGGCUGAAGUCAGAGACAGGUUCUUGGAGCGCUUGAUCCAAUUUAAUUCUUCUAUUUUUUUUUUUUUAAACCCUAGGCAGAUGAGAGUGGAGUCUGUAAAUCACCCUCCAUGCAAUGGUUCAUCAUAAAGGAUAUGGAGCAAAAUUAGAGGAGGCACGAGAAGGAAAGCCGGUGAUGAACAAGGAAAGUGCCUGGUUGAAGCUAGCUUGCAAUCCCCAAAGUCAGAAGGUUGCCUGGGAAGCCAUGAAACAAAGCCAAAUCAAGGCAAAGCAGACACAUGGAGAUUUUGAGACUGAGAAGAGGAAAACUGAGGACAUUCAUGUGAGAUGGUUUCAAGUUUCCCUUAGAAGGAGAAGUUAUCUUCAGAAGGUCAGGUUGGUGAGGUGGGAGUUCAAAAACAACAAAGUAUGUAGCUACCAUUGUGAGGAAGACCAUGGAAAAUGGAUGAAUCAGAAUGAAAGGCUUUCUGAACAAGACCCAGAGACAGAAGCAGAUAAUGCAAGUGUCAUCUACAUCUGGCAAAAGCCAAAGGUUUGGAAGAUGGAAAAAGGAAUCCAGGCAAAAAGGAGCCCAAGAUUGAAGUGAAUGACCAGGUGCACCAGUUCAAAUGCAAUCAGGAGGGAGAGGGGUAGAGGGAGAAGCCUAGAGCAGCGCUUCUCAAACUGACUAUUCAAGUCACCUGGAGAUCUUGGUGAAAUGCAGACUCUGGUGCAGUAGGUCCUGGUGGGAACUUGAAAUUCUGCAUUUUGACCAAGCUCCAAGGU
rnacentral:lncRNA from 1 species